UACGAAGGGGGCUAGCGUUGUUCGGAAUUACUGGGCGUAAAGCGCACGUAGGCGGACUACUAAGUCAGGGGUGAAAUCCCGGGGCUCAACCCCCGGAACUGCCUUUGAUACUGAUAGUCUCGAGUCCGGAAGAGGUGAGUGGAAUUCCGAGUGUAGAGAUGAAAUUCGUAGAUAUUCGGAGGAACACCAGUGGCGAAGGCGGCUCACUGGUCCGGUACUGACGCUGAGGUGCGAAAGCGUGGGGAGCAAACAGG
rnacentral:rRNA from 1 species